rnacentral:tRNA from 4 species
GCUGGCGUAGCUCAACUGGUAGAGCAGCUGAUUUGUAAUCAGCAGGUUGGGGGUUCGAGUCCCUUCGCCAGCU